AAUGUUCCUGAUCCUUGUACUCCAGAGAUUGCUGCUUUCUACUUUGUCUAUCAUCAGUGAGGAAUGUGGAAUACAAACCCUACCCUUGGUUUUGCCUGUUAAAUUAUCGACAGCUACCUUGAAGAAGAAGAAAAAAGCUGAACAUGCUGAAAGGGUAGUUGAAUGGGGAGAAAAAAGACACCAUUCAACUCACAACAAAACAAACACACAAAAAAUCAUUUCCUAUAAGAAUCUUCUUUGAAUGACUGCUUAGGCCCAAGUUGACAGAAUGUAGUUUCCUUGCACCUCCUGGGAAAUAAACAAACUUUUGUUGUCCAUCUUCUAUCCUUGAUAUAAUGAUCUGUUUCUCUGUUACUAUUGCCCAGGCACAAUGGACGGGAGAGGUGAAAGAGGAAAAUAAAAUAAACAAAAAUCAAUGGUA